rnacentral:rRNA from 1 species
UACGUAGGGUACAAGCGUUAAUCGGAAUUACUGGGCGUAAAGCGUGCGCAGGCGGUUGUGCAAGACCGAUGUGAAAUCCCCGGGCUUAACCUGGGAAUGGCAUUGGUGACUGCACGGCUAGAGUGUGUCAGAGGGGGGUAGAAUUCCACGUGUAGCAGUGAAAUGCGUAGAGAUGUGGAGGAAUACCGAUGGCGAAGGCAGCCCCCUGGGAUAACACUGACGCUCAUGCACGAAAGCGUGGGGAGCAAACGGG